rnacentral:rRNA from 1 species
UGGGGAAUUUUGCGCAAUGGGGGAAACCCUGACGCAGCAACGCCGCGUGAGUGAUGAAGGCCUUCGGGUCGUAAAGCUCUGUCAGAGGGGAAGAAAUGCAGGGGUGCUAAUAUCAUCUUUGCUUGACGGUACCCUCAAAGGAAGCACCGGCUAACUCCGUGCCAGCAGCCGCGGUAAUACGGAGGGUGCGAGCGUUGUUCGGAAUUAUUGGGCGUAAAGCGCGUGUAGGCGGUUUGGUAAGUCUGAUGUGAAAGCCCCGGGCUCAACCUGGGAAGUGCAUUGGAAACUGUCAGACUUGAAUACGGGAGAGGGUAGUGGAAUUCCUAGUGUAGGAGUGAAAUCCGUAGAUAGUAGGAGGAACACCGGUGGCGAAGGCGGCUACCUGGACCGAUAUUGACGCUGAGACGCGUAAGUGUGGGGAGCAAACAG